GAUGAACGCUGGCGGCGUGCCUAAUACAUGCAAGUCGAACGCAUUGUGGUUGAAAUGAUAUGAAGAACUUGUUCAGAUUUGAUUUUCAACAUUGCAAUGAGUGGCGAACGGGUGAGUAACACGUGGGAAACCUACCUCUUAGCAGGGGAUAACAUUUGGAAACAAAUGCUAAUACCGUAUAAAUAAUUAAAACCGCAUGGUUUUAGUUUAAAAGAUGGUCGUGCUAUCACUAAGAGAUGGUCCCGCGGUGUAUUAGUUAGUUGGUGAGGUAAUGGCUCACCAAGACAAUGAUACAUAGCCGAGUUGAGAGACUGACCGGCCACAAUGGGACUGAGACACGGCCCAUACUCCUACGGGAGGCAGCAGUAGGGAAUCUUCCACAAUGGACGAAAGUCUGAUGGAGCAACGCCGCGUGUGU
rnacentral:rRNA from 1 species